rnacentral:lncRNA from 1 species
GCUCUCUGCGCUUCGCUCCGGCUGGGAUCCUCCUUUGGACAAAGUGGCCUGGAAACAUCACAUUGCUGUGACUCAGCAGAGGACCUUUUUCUGGAGAGGCACUCCACCUGAGGUCAGCCUGGAUCCAUCCACACACCAUCUACACAGGCAGGCAGCACCCUUAAGAGUAGAUUGGGUUGAAGUUGGCAAGACCUAAGUGGCUUGAAGCAGAGACAGAUACGAU